CAUUUUUCACCAAAUGCACUUUGCUUUUUGUUUUUAUUAUGCAAGAUUACAAUAAUGUCGGGGUAGUUUAGGCAAUUAUUGAAAGUUGCAUAAUAAAGACAAAAAGUGGAGUGCAUAUGGUCAAAAGUGGAUUGUAUAAAUCAUCACCCAAAAUUUUACAUCUAAUUUAUUUACCCUAAAUUGCUCCACAGGUUAAAAUUAUAACGUGGCCAGAGGCAAUGCAAAAGCAAAACCUAAAACCGGUAUAGUGAAAGGCCUUUGGAAGCUCUGUUAUUCACUGACAGCCCGCCAAGUAAUGUCUACUUCCUGCCAUAUAAGCAGAUCCAAUUAGUUAAACUUCCAUAAAAUAAAAACUAUACAAAAACAAUUAGGGAAAAAUUUGUCAAACUCAACUCAAAG
rnacentral:lncRNA from 1 species